UCCACUCCCUCCCAGGGCCCAUGGAAGAGAAAGAGCAGCUCUGGACCGAAGGGAAGCUGCGGUCCAGAGAGGUUCAGAUGUUUCUCCAGGCCACACAGCCAAUUCAGAAUACCAGUAAAGACGAAUUUACACCAUGUUAGCAGUCAACCCAUCAUAUACAGCGAAUCUUGGGAAAGCAGCUCACGUGCUGAGUUGCUCUCAUCCUGGUGAGGCAACCCGAGUCCCUCCAGCAAGCAACCCGGAAGAAGAACAUCUGCCAUUCAUCCUUCGGGAUUCGAGGAAACCUUCCCUGAGCGCUCUCCCACUCGGGGCCAAGCACCUUUUUUCACCCAAGAACCCAAGAGGGAAGCAAAGCUUAGUGGCAUUGUGGUGGGUGUGUGUUCUAAUAAACCGUU